CCCGGCCUUGCAAGAACAUGGUACUGCCUAUAAGUAGUCUAGGAAAGAUAAAUAUUCAAAAUUUGAACUACUGAAUGUGUACUGCUUUUGUACCAUCCUAAAGUUGAAAAAUCAUUCAUUUAGGCCCUCACAAGCUGGGGCGCAUCUGUAUAAUAAAGUUUGGUGAGAGGAGGCAUGGCAUGUACUUCAAAAGCACAAACACUACACCUGAUCUAGGAGGACAGACAAGAAAGUGACGCCAUGAAGCCCAAGCAUAGGAGGGAGCGUGAAGCCUGCCCUCCUGCAAUCUAGUUGGCCCUACCCCCAAACCUGCAUAGCUGUCGACCCCUGAUACUCUAGGGAAUUCCUCUGGGACACUAUUUGAAAACUCUUAGCUCAGAGGUCUUUGGGUGCCUAUGGUUUCUCAGCUAUUCCAGCUUUGUGACUUCUCAGCCAGAUUGGGUAAGUCCUAGUUAGGGAUCAUGGGCCGACUCAUCUGGAGUCCCCAUGUCUAAGUUCCAGAUGGGAACUUGGGGAUAGUGGAGCCAAAGCCCUGUGUCUUUACCUGUGCCUGUUUUCCCCACAGGGCGGGGUGGGAAUUGUCCCAACAUUCUGAUAGGCCUGUGUAUUGUCAACUGCAUGAUGGAUGAGAACUGUCAAGCUGGGGAGAAGUGCUGCAAGUCAGGUUGUGGCCGUUUUUGUGUCCCACCAAUCCCGCUACCCAAACAGACCUUGAAGUUCAAUAGGACCCUCAGAUCUGAUUCUGAAUUAGAAGCCCCAGUGCCCUACUUGUCCUGAUUUGUCUGGAACUUCAUUAUUGACUCCAGGAGCUAUCCUGGCAGCCAGGAGAGGGUGACAUCCUGGGGCUUGUGACAUGCCCAGGGGCACUCCUGGCCCUCUGGAUUCUGCUUUUCUUCCUACCAUGCCCUGGAGCAUAGGAAAAACAGCCCUGGCUGAGCAGUGGGUGUUGGUGCUUCUCUUCCCCAAUAAAGGCUGGUGCUGACCCUCUUGUCUGUGCUUUCUGGGGCUCAGUUUACCAGGAUUUUGAAACAGGAGGACAUAAAUAAGUUAGACAGAUCAAUUGAAGAUGCCAACAAAAGCCUACCAACAAAGAAAAUCCCAGGACCAGAUAAAUUGUCAGCUGAGUUCUGCCCAGACCUUCAAAGAAGAACUUAAACCAAUACUCCUCAAAUUAUUCCAUGAAAUAGAAAAGGAGGGAACCCUUCCAAACUCAUUAUAUGAAGCUAGUAUCACCCUGAUACCAA